CAGUCGCCGCGGUAAUACAGAGGGUGCGAGCGUUAAUCGGAUUUACUGGGCGUAAAGCGUGCGUAGGCGGCUUCUUAAGUCGGAUGUGAAAUCCCUGAGCUUAACUUAGGAAUCGCAUUCGAUACUGGGAAGCUAGAGUAUGGGAGAGGAUGGUAGAAUUCCAGGUGUAGCGGUGAAAUGCGUAGAGAUCUGGAGGAAUACCGAUGGCGAAGGCAGCCAUCUGGCCUAAUACUGACGCUGAGGUACGAAAGCAUGGGGAGCAAACAGGAUUAGAUACCCCGGUAGUCCCUGUCUCUUAUAC
rnacentral:rRNA from 1 species